rnacentral:misc_RNA from 12 species
AACGAGCGAGAGAGAGAGAGAGAGAGAGAGAGAGGGAAAAGUUUUUAAAUAUUUGAUUUUCAUCUCUCUCUCUCUCUCUCUCUCUCCUAUUUGAU